CCCAUCAAGUACUAAAAUACAGUGGGAGGCUGCAUCCUUAUGUAAAUAUUUGACUUAUAGACAUUUCACUGUUAGUUGACAAAUACGAUGUGCAAACCAGAAGUUCUAAAUAAUUAGUAUUGAGUAGCAUUUGUGGUGACGAUUUUUUAUAUAAAAGCUGAGACCUCUGGCCUAUGAAGUAUCUAGGAGAAAACUAAUUUUUGAUAACCCUUCCUAAUUUGAUUUGUGGAAUCCUGAAGACAAAGAGAUCCUCUUGGUUUACUUUCCUGUUGCUCAGUGACCAAAAGUCCUGGAUUCGAGAUUUACUCAACACAUUAAGGGACCUACUGUGUGUUGAGCAUUGUUCUAGGUAUUAGAGAUACACAGUAGUGAACAGAACUGUGGAUUGUGUAAUAUUUAAAUAAUUUUGGUCUCUCUAACUACAAAUAACCUUAGAUAUGGUAAUACGUGACAUAUAUUUUUGUGUAAAUGUAAAACUUGUUCCUUGUCUCAUCUUUUAGAAGCAAUCUCUAAGAAAGGGAAAGGAAAAGCCAAAACCAAACAAUACUGCUAUUUUCCAUCAUUCUCCGUAUCGAGGUUGCCCUCCUCUUUCUUAAUGCCCUCUACCAUCAUUUUAAGGCAACACAUGCCCUUUUUGCCAGGACACCCUACAUUGUACAGUCUAUUGACUGUAUCAUGCAGAGGAGGUGGGUAGGCACUGAAUUCCAGCAUCUACCUUCACCUGCUAAGACAUGUGUUUUGCAUCUACCUGAGGAAGGGGUAUCUUUUUCUAAUUUGAACACAGCACUGUAGCACCACCAUGGCUCUCUUUGUUCUUCAGAGUUCUCUGGCAACUGACUGCCAUCUGCCCUUGACAUGUAUUUUCAUGUUAUAUUGAAUAGCACUGCUCUGAGUAGCAAGACAGGGAACACUGGGGGAUGGGGUGAAGUCAAGGCUGUAGAAGUGAACCAGCAACCCCGAUCACCUUCCAGGAUUUCAAAUAAUAUCUAGAUAAAUGAAAACUAGCUGAGGCGUGAUGCUGUGUAAAAUGUUCUGCAGCAAAAAGGAAGCAGUGACAGAGCAACAAAACUGCCUUUUCGGUUUUAGCAAACUGGAAGAACUGUCAACUCACAACAGGUUGCCUUAGUAUUGCAUUGCAACUGCAGAACAUGAUAUAGUCAGACCACAUGGCUCAACCUUUUGGCCGAGCUCAUUUGUAGGAUUUGAUAUCAGGUGAUUUGAUAUAGGAUAUAUGUCCUGCUGAACCCCAGGGAUGGCCUUGGGUAUUAAAGUGUUUUCCUUUUCCCGUUGCUAACUUCGCUGUGGUCUGUUGACAUUACAUCAUGUUGCAAACAAUGAGUGGUAGAGUCUGCAGUGUCAGGAUGUAGUGACCUGAUUAGUCCAAACUCCUGCAGGGGAGCCGUGCGGAUAGAUGAGCCCCAACAAGACCUGAAGAACCAUGUCGUUUUGAAAUCCCAGGUGGAUGGGCCACACCCUGAAUACACCUUAAAUCUCUUGUUGCUUUGAAGCCUCUACCAUUUGCCUAAAGAAAAUACGUUUAACUGAAGACCCAGGGAUAGAAGGAAACCAUGCUAUACAGAUUCAGGCGACCUGCAGACAACCUCCAGCAGGCACCAGCAAACUUUGGGAUGCAAGUAACCCUGAAUGAGUAAGAACUUGAGCUAAGAAGCAGAGCGCCAUGCCAUUUCUACACAACUUCUCCUUCCAGUGUCACACUCUGGAACAAUCCAUUCUCCAAAUCACCAAGUUAAAGGUAGAGCGAUUCACCAACUGCCAGCAGUGAACUCAAAAUGGAAGAGACAUGACAAGUAUCCAGGACACUGACUGGCAUUUUAAUACAUUCUCUUAACAAUAAAUUUUGAUGGAUGAAAACUAAAAAUGGGCAAUGUAGAGAGAAGGAUCUCCCAGUUGGAAGUCUUUCUCUGAGAAAGCUAUUAAGUCUGUAGGCCACUCACAAGGUCACUGCAGAUAGUUAAACCCAAGCAACUCUAAGAUGUGCCGAUCAUAUCCAGUCUCAACGGGUCAUGGCCUGGGAAUGGUCUUCUGCACAGGCUACAAUAUGGUCAACGGUGGCUCUGACCAUGGGAGUAUUAAUGAUAUCCUUCAGAACCCAUGGUGUUAAAUGAUACUUCACUAGCUAUCCCUGGCACUGGCUCCUCUCAUGAUGUUUCAGAACAAGCAACUAUUCAAAAGGACAGGCAUGUGGCAAGCAUGUGGAAAUUAUUGCAAUUGGAUGAAGAAAACAUUUUCAUUUCCAUAACCAAGUUUCAAUCACGGGAACAUCCAGUAGCAAGAAACUGCCUGGAUUUUAAUCUAAGCUUUGGCAUUGACUACGAGCUCUAUAAGCCUUAGGAAUGCUAUUUAAUCUCUCUGUGUAUCAUCUUCCUUCUAUAUAAAAUGGGGAUAAUAAUAGUACAUAUGUCAUAAAGUUUUUAUAAGAAUGGGAUCAAAUGGUUUCCUAUUAAAAGACCUUAGAAAAGUGCCUGGCACACAGAAAGCACUAUGUAUGGAUUUGUUAAAUAAGUAAGUAAUAUAUACAAGUAUGUAUUUAUCAUCAUUUAUGACUGUUCCAGUAUAUUCUAAUUUUUGGACAGAAUGUUAUGUUAACCAUGGUACAUUUUCAGUUAUAUAUCCAACUAAAACUUAAGAUAAUAGUUAAAACUGAGAUAAAAGACAGUCGUUUAAACCUGUCCUUCUCCAAAAUAGAUUAGACAUGAAACAUAUGAGUUAAAGAACUGUGUUCUUAAUUUAGGUAGUAUUUUGGAUUUUAAAACAAGUGUGUGAGUUCAGUAUGGGGGGCAGAAAUUAGAUCAUCAGACAAGGUGAAAGAGCAUAUCCAGAUGAACACCUUCCUAUAGGUUUCAUUUCUUCUUCCAAAAAUCAUAGUUAUAUACUGGUUUCAGAAGCUGACUGCAGCCCAUUUCAUUAUAAGACCGUAUGAACCCAAAGAAGUUAAUUUUCUCUUCAAAUCUGGAUUUAUUACACAAAUAGCAUAGCAACCAUAAUAGAAGGAAGGAAAUACCAUUAACACGUACACCCCGAUAAAUCAGUUGUUUACAUUUUUCUCUGUUCCUUUCUAUACCAAGUCCAUUUGCCUACCUUUUUUUUUUUUUUUCAACCUAGUGGUUGAAAGAAGAAAAAAAAAGUUAAGUGCUCUAUAAGCCCCAGUCGUCUGUCCUGUUCCCUAUCAUACCACACACUCCCUCUGGGAGAAGGUUUUCUCCAUUCAGUAAAUAUUUAUUGAAUAUCUCCCACAUGCCAAGGAUUGUCCCAAGUACUACAGAUGUAAGGAUGAACAAGACAGACAAGGCCUCAGGCCUCAAAGAACUUAAUUCUAGUCAGGAAUAAACAUGUAAACCAAUAUAUAAAUAAGAUGAUUCCUGAUUUUUUAGGGUCGGAGAAGGCUCCUAUGAGGAUAUGUAGGCAGAUAGAAGAAAGAUGAGGUGGUAAGAGCCGUGCACUGAGCUGAAGGCCUCAGUGACAUGGGAAAGAGCUUUGUGUAUUUGAGGAAGCUAAAGGAGGCCAAUGGGAAUGAAAUCAGCCAGCAGGGACCUAAGGGAAAGGCAGGAGUCAGCUUUGUAGUGCUUUGUAGGCCACGGUGAGGAGUUUGGAUUUUAUUUUAGUGCAACAGGAAGACUUUGGAAGACUUUCACCAAAGGCAGCACGUGUUUUGCCCUAUUAGGUUACUCUCAUUGCUAGGCGAAGAGUGAAUUAUGGGGAGACAAGAAGAGAAAGAAAGAGACCCAUUAGUGGGCUCUUGUAGUAGUGAAAACAAAAGAGGAUGGUGACUUAGACUGGGAUGAUAAAGUAGAUGGUUUCAAAAUGUAUUCCGGAAGUAGCACUUACACAUUUGCUGAUGGAUUAGAUACAGAGGAUGAGGGCAAGAGGAACCUAGAAUGAUUGGGAUCCUUGUUUUUUGGGGUGAAGCAACUGGGUAGAUGAUGGAGGUAUUGACUUUGACUGGAAUAGGAUCAGAUUUAGGAGUCCUUUUUCAUGUGCAUUUAGUUUACAAUAUCUAUUUGGAGUUUAAUUGGAAAUGUCAGUUAUGCAAUUGCAUCCGUGAGUCUGAAGCUCAGGUCAGUUCUAUAUCAGCACAUAGUAAAAUUUAAAGCCAUCAGACUGGAAGACAAGUAAGAAGGGAGAAUUGACUACCAGGCCCCAUGACACUCCAGCUUUCAGAUGUUGGUCAAUGCAAAAAGCCAGCCAUAAUAAUUGAGAAGAGUUCAUUAAUUUGGGAAGGAAAUCAGGACAGUGUAAUGUUUCCGAAGCCCAGAGCAUAAGUUGAUUCAAAAAAAGGAGAGAGUUCUUAUUUGUGUUAAAUACUGUUACCGGGUCAAGUAAAGUGAGGAUGAAGACAAAUCCACUCCAUGUGGUAAUAUGACGAGUUUCUGUGAUUUUGGCAAAUCACUGCAGCGGAGUCCUCGAGACUUGAAGUCAGAAUGGACAUUGACAUUGAAGUCAGAAUGGAGUGGGUUGAGACUGAAUGGAUUUAACACAAUUCAGUAAAAAUCCUAAUAGGCUAUUUCUU